CCUACGGGAGGCUGCAGUGGGGAAUAUUCCGCAAUGGGCGAAACCCUGAUGCAGCAACGCCGCGUGAGUGAAGAAGUUAUUCGUUAUGUAAAGCUCUAUUAGCAGGGAAGAACAUGCCGGUACGUAACUAUGAAGCCCCUGCUAACGACGGGCCAGCAGCCGCGGUAAAACGUAGUGGGCAAGCGUUAGCCGGAUGUAGUGGGGGUAAGGGGAGCGUAGACGGUAGUGCAAGUCUGGAGUGAAAGGCGGGGGCUCAACCCCCGGACUGCACUGGAAACUGUACGGCUUGAGUGCAGUAGAGGUAAGUGGAAUUCCUAGUGUAGCGGUGAAAUGCGCAGAUAUUAGGAGGAACACCAGUGGCGAAGGCGACUUACUGGACUGUAACUGACGCUGAGGUGCGAAAGCGUGGGGAGCAAACAGGAUUAGAUACCCUUGUAGUC
rnacentral:rRNA from 1 species